GGUAGCGUGUCCGAGCGGCCGAAGGUGCAGCACUCGAAAUGCUGUGUGGUUAACAGCCACCGUGGGUUCAAAUCCCACCGCUACCG
rnacentral:tRNA from 1 species